CGUGCACCGUGCGCACGCAGCCCCGUGUGCUCGCCGAGACCGGGGCACGCCUGGCACACACCGCCACAGGUUGGCGUGUUCGAGAAGCGCCCACCAGCUCGACCUCACGACCUCCUGCCCAGCGGCCAGGGCGCCCCCCGGAAGCUCAGAUGCUAUGAUCAGAGAUAUAGGAGCUAACUGUGACUAUGAACUAUGAAAAUGAAACCCCGAAACUAAAGAUGACAGAAUAGAAAGGGUUCUUAUGUCCUGGAGUCCAAGAAUGAAUGUCACUGACACAGAAGGGUGAAGUGAUCGUUUAUUAAGUGAAGGACACCAUUGGAAGCAUUUGUUGUUCUACCAAGGCUUUGACUGGGAUAUUAUAUUUGAGAGACAUGCACAGACUCAUUGAUGACCAUACUGGCCUUAUGUCACAUGGAGCCAAUAAAGUCCCUUGGAACUGUUGGCCUGAUCCUUGCUUACGGAGGUCCUACCAGCUUUACCUAGCCAGUAAAAUAUGUCACUUCCUGGCAGGUGCAGGAACUUCAGGAGUUUUUGGGACCUUGAGAAAAGGAAUUUGCCCAAACCUACAGUGUUUCCCUGCCUGAUGCCAAGACUCCUUCUCUGCUGACAGAUUGAAUCCCGCUCGCAGAUGAUCCUUUCUACUCCAGGAGGUUCAUAGAUAUGCUGUCCACGUUGUAUUCAGCUGCAGAUUUGAUGAUGCUCUGCCUUUCAUAACCCCCUUAUACAUUCCCCGACUGACCAAUGAUGACCCACAAGCCCCCUGCUCUGCAGGAAGAAGCUACAGAAGAUGAGAGCUUGCACCUUCAACAAUCUUUAAGAUUUAAGGGUCAAAUUGUUCAGGGGAAAUGAUGAAGGAGCCUAAGGCAAGCAGACAGCAAAGCAGGAGCUGACACCACCCUCCUCCCCAUCAGCAGUACUUCAAGAUCAUCAACCUGACUCGGUCCGGUGGAUGAGGAAACAGAAGGCUGCCUGAAGACAAAGCAGAAGUUGAUACUUUAACCACCAGUCCCCACAACACACACUCCAGAGUGGGCCCUGGGUGACUUUCUUCCCUGAAUCUCCAACUCUGCUAAGGUUAAUGCCUUGCUAGAGGGAACAACACAACCUUAACUUGAUAAUGGCAAGACCUCUGGUAUCUUGUAGGUCUUCCUUAGCAUAUGAAACUUCUUUUGAAACUUCCCUUUUCUUUACCUCCUCCGACCCCAUAGUAUACGAUCAGUCACCCCUCACAACCCCAGGGCAGCAGCUCUUCCUGCCCAGGGAUCCUGUCCAAGAUCUUUAAUAAACAACCA